CCCAAAUGCAACACUUGGUCCCUCUUUCUGAGCCCAAAAAUUGAUCAAGUGAGUCUGGUUCUGAGCCCCUGAAACAUAACAGUGAUUUGGGUCUCUGAAAGCCCAAAACUGCCUGACUUGGUUUCAGUUCCAAGGCCCCAAACCCAGCACUGAGUGCUGUUCUGAGCCCCCCAAACCCAGUGAUGAUUACAAUUCAUUAUUUCGAUAUAAAUAUUCCUCAAAUUGCUAAAGCAGGAGGAAAGAUCUAACAGGUUUUCCUUUAACAGAUGUUUUACUUAAGAAUCUACACAGAAAUUGCAGCUUACAUGUCCCUUUGUCUUCUGAAGUACUUAAUAAUUCUUCUAAUACAUUUUAUUUCACAUUACUGCUUUGGACAGAGCAAAGUCAGUAUUUUCCAUUUGACCUCAAGAAAUAUUGAAUACGCUUUAUUGCAGAAACAUUUUCUGAGUAAUUUUAAGGAAUGAAACGCAGACAGAAUGGUGUUUGCCCAUCUCCUCCUGCCAUUCCCUCACAGGGAGCAGUGGCUGGGGCUGCUGGAUCCUCCUCCCCGAUGAGAUGCCAAAUGGGAGCUGUGUCCAGAGCCUGAAGCGGGGCUUGGGUGAUGAUCAGACACAGAAUCAGCACCAGUGCUGCUCCCCAGGAUUUUGGUGCUGCAUGGUUUGGGCAAGACAAACUCCAGGAGUCUUCAAGCCAGGCUCCUAAGAACCCUUUGGCAAGAAGAGAGGCCAAUACACCCAUCUGUUACAAAAGGCGGCUGUGAGGAAUUUGUCCUCCCACUGGGCAAAGUUCGUCUCUUAUUUCAGAUGAAUGUAAUAGCUGAGCGUCAUCUGCUGCUGGAAAACCUUCGGAAGUUACUUAAAACUACAACAGGCAUAAAAGAGAAGCAGGGUGAGAAAGGGUUGUUUGCUAUUAAACACCAACACAAACCAAGCCGGGCUUUUUGUCUGUGCCCUUCCCCCUUUCUGUUCACACACUCCUCUUCACCCUUCAGACAGUCUUAGAAUGCUAAUUUUUCUAAUGAACACUAUUACAGAAAUCAACUAAAAUAUUAUUUUAAACCUUGUUCAAUGAGACUGGAUCCACACCACAAAUAAAGUCCUGAUCCUUC
rnacentral:lncRNA from 12 species